UAUAUAUAUAUAUAUAUAUAUUUCUUCUUUGGGAUUUCUCUACAACCAAUCCAAACCAAACCCUAAGAGCUUAGAAAGAAGAAAGGUAAUUGGGUUCUAUAGGUGAUCCGUGGGUGUGCAGAAGGAGAGAACGGUAGAGAUGAUCUACCGAUGCCGGAGUUCAAUUGGGAAACCCAUGCCAAGGUGGGUAGUAAUUUCAUCAUCCACAUUGAUAGUAAGACUCUCAUUUUUCCCUCAGUUGUACGGCAACUCAAAACCUGAAGAUAAUUGGAGAGUUGUGGCCUAAAUAGUACUCUAGAUAAUGAUCUAUUGAUGUCUCUACCUUACUCGAGAGGCCCUUAGAGCUUCCAUAUGUCAAGAUUAACCGUCGGUAUCAACAAAUGAACUGUCCAUACCAACGAUUAAUGUCAGUUUUUCUCAACAGUUCACCUCACUACAGGCAAGAGUUCGAUUUAUUACAUGUUAUAUUUCUAUGUUUCAUCAUGAUCUAAUCCGUGUUUUUCUCGCUGUACCUUGUAGGAGAAAUGGAGUUUGAAUUCCUCGUUCCGAGAAAUGCCUGCUACGGGCUUACAUUUUACAAUGGAGCAACUUGAAGUAUGUUUCAUCAUGAUCUAAUGGAGGCCUUUGACAGCCGACAGUGUGAGGACUUUCGAAACUCCUGCCUAGGCUUCCUGGCCGAGGUACUUGACAUACAGAUCUUUGCCUAGCUCAUUCAACAGUUGGUAUUCAAAUAUAUGAUUUAAGAGUCACAUGUUGGUAAUGUACCGAUUAUGAGAAACGCUUGUGUACAUUAGGGAAAAAAGUACUAAAAUGUCCUUACAAAAUUCGUGUAUUUACAAGGACGUUAAUGUGAGUUUAUUUUUUUAUUGGGUUAA